UUUUGUUUUUUAGGCGCAUGGUGGAUGCCUGGGUAUGCUAAGCCGAUGAAGGACGUGAUAGGCUGCGUUAAGCCUCGGGGAGUUGCCUGAUGAGCGUUGAUCCGAGGGUGUCCGAAUGGGGAAACCCGGCCAUGGUUAUGUGUGGUCACCCGCCAGUGAAUGAAAUAGUUGGUUGGGGGGUUACGCGGGGAAGUGAAACAUCUUAGUACCCGUAGGAGGAGAAAACAAGAGUGAUUCUGCUAGUAGUGGCGAGCGAACGUGGAUAAGGCUAAACCGUGUGCGUGUGAUACCGGGUAGGGGUUACGCAUGCGGGGUUAGAGGAGCACGGCGUACUGGUUCUACCUUGGCUGGUGCUGUUGUUGGUGUGUGUUAGUGGAAGUGGUGUGGAAUCGCCUGCCAGAGACGGUGAGAGUCCGGUACACGAAAACACGCAUGAAUAUGGUUGUUGUGUUUCCUGAGUAGCGGCGGGCUCGUGGAAUCUGUCGUGAAUUUGCCGGGACCACCCGGUAAGCCUAAAUACUUAGCAUGACCGAUAGUGGAUCAAGUACCGUGAGGGAAUGGUGAAAAGUACCCCGGGAGGGGAGUGAAAGAGUACCUGAAACCAUGUGCUGAUAAUCCGUCAUAGCCCCCCCUUUUUUUUGGGUGGGGUGGUGGCGUGCCUUUUGAAGAAUGAGCCUGCGAGUCAGUGGCAUGUUGCGUGGUUAACCAUGAGUGUGGGGAGCCGUAGCGAAAGCGAAUCCUAACUUGAGGGUGUGUGUGGCAUGUUCUGGACCCGAAGCGGGGUGAUCUACCCAUGGCCAGUGUGAAGCAGAGGUAAGACUUUGUGGAGGCGCGAACCCACUUAGGUUGAAAACUGAGGGGAUGAGUUGUGGGUAGGGGUGAAAGGCCAAUCAAACUCCGUGAUAGCUGGUUCUCCCCGAAAUGCAUUUAGGUGCAGCGUCGCGUGUUGCCCGGCGGAGGUAGAGCUACUGGGUGGCUGAUGGGCCCCACAGGGUUACUGACGUCAACCAAACUCCGAAUGCCGUCUGGGUUGAGUGCGGCAGUGAGACUGCGGGGGAUAAGCUCCGUGGUCGAGAGGGAAACAGCCCGGAUCGCCGGCUAAGGCCCCUAAGCGUGUGCUAAGUGGGAAAGGAUGUGCGGUCGCGCAGACAACCAGGAGGUUGGCUUAGAAGCAGCCAUCCUUGAAAGAGUGCGUAAUAGCUCACUGGUCGAGUGGUUCUGCGCCGAUAAUGUAGCGGGGCUUAAGUACACCGCCGAAACCGCGGCAACACUAUAUUUAUUGGUGUUGGGUAGGGGAGCGUCGUGCAUGUGUUGAAGCCAGCUGGUGAUGGUUGGUGGAGUGUGUGCGAGUGAGAAUGCAGGCAUGAGUAACGAUUGAUGUGUGAGAAACAUAUCCGCCGGAUGACUAAGGGUUCCUGGGUGAAGUUUGUCUUCCCAGGGUGAGUCGGGGCCUAAGGCGAGGCCGACAGGCGUAGUCGAUGGAUGACGGGUUGAUAUUCCCGUACCGGCGAAGCACCGCCCAUGCUGACGCGCGGGUGCUAACCCACGCCCAGCCACCAUGUAGGCCGCAUGUGUCAGGUUCGCCUGACGGUGUGGUUGUGGUGGUGGGGUCUGGGGAUCCUCCGUGCAGGUAGGCAAGCGUGUUAACAGGGGUGACGCACAGUGGUAGCCCGGCGGACCUGAUGGCUUGGUCCGUUCAAGCGCGCAGCCCGUCUCCCAGGUAAAUCCGGGGGACUGUCUUUGAUGACGGGGGUGAGGCGUGAUGGUGACCUCACACUGGUGGGGGAUAACAGGGUGAUCCUGGGGUGCCGAGAAAAGCCUCGACGCGAUGGUGCCAGCCGCCCGUACCCUAAACCGACACAGGUGGUCGGGCAGAGUAUGCCUAGGCGCACGAGUGAAUCAUGGUUAAGGAACUCGGCAAAAUGCCCCCGUAACUUCGGGAGAAGGGGGGCCCUAUCCUUUGAAGCCCCGUUUUGCGGGCUAGGGGGGUGGGCCGCAGAGACCAGGGGGAAGCGACUGUUUACUAAAAACACAGGUCCGUGCGAAGCCGUAAGGCGAUGUAUACGGACUGACGCCUGCCCGGUGCUGGAAGGUUAAGAGGAACCAUCAACCCCCUUGUGGGGUGAAGUGGUGAAUUUAAGCCCCAGUAAACGGCGGUGGUAACUAUAACCAUCCUAAGGUAGCGAAAUUCCUUGUCGGGUAAGUUCCGACCUGCACGAAUGGCGUAACGACUUCCCCGCUGUCUCAACCAUGAGCUCGGCGAAAUUGCAGUACGAGUAAAGAUGCUCGUUUCGCGCAGAAGGACGGAAAGACCCCGGGACCUUUACUACAGCUUGGUAUUGGCGCCCGCUAUAGCUUGUGCAGGAUAGGUGGGAGACUGUGAAGCCGCCACGCCAGUGGUGGUGGAGUCGUCCUUGAAAUACCACUCUGGUUAUGGCGUGCGCCUGAACCUGGGCCCGUGAUCCGGGUCAGGGACAGUGCCUGGUGGGUAGUUUAACUGGGGCGGUUGCCUCCUAAAGGGUAACGGAGGCGCUCAAAGGUUCCCUCAGCCUGGUCGGCAACCAGGUGGCGAGUGUAAGUGCACAAGGGGGCUUGACUGUGAGACUGACGGGUCGAGCAGGUACGAAAGUAGGAACUAGUGAUCCGGCGGUGGCUUGUGGAAGCGCCGUCGCUCAACGGAUAAAAGGUACCCCGGGGAUAACAGGCUGAUCCUGCCCAAGAGUCCAUAUCGACGGCAUGGUUUGGCACCUCGAUGUCGGCUCGUCGCAUCCUGGGGCUGGAGUAGGUCCCAAGGGUUGGGCUGUUCGCCCAUUAAAGCGGCACGCGAGCUGGGUUUAGAACGUCGUGAGACAGUUCGGUCUCUAUCCGCCGCGCGCGUUGAAACUUGAAGAAGGCUGUCCCUAGUACGAGAGGACCGGGAUGGACGUACCUCUGGUAUGCCAGUUGUCACGCCAGUGGCAUGGCUGGUUAGCUACGUGCGGGAGGGAUAACCGCUGAAAGCAUCUAAGCGGGAAGCCUGUUUUAAGAUGAGGUUUCUGUUGAGGUUCCCCAUAGAUGAUGGGGUUGAUAGGCCAGGGCUGUGAGCAUGGUGACGUGUUGGAGGUGACUGGUACUAAUACACCGACACAAAAACACA
rnacentral:rRNA from 1 species